rnacentral:rRNA from 1 species
AGUGAACGCUGGCGGUAGGCCUAACACAUGCAAGUCGAACGGCAGCACAGUAAGAGCUUGCUCUUACGGGUGGCGAGUGGCGGACGGGUGAGGAAUACAUCGGAAUCUACUUUUUCGUGGGGGAUAACGUAGGGAAACUUACGCUAAUACCGCAUACGACCUACGGGUGAAAGCAGGGGAUCUUCGGACCUUGCGCGAUUGAAUGGGCCGAUGUCGGAUUAGCUAGUUGGCGGGGUAAAGGCCCACCAAGGCGACGAUCCGUAGCUGGUCUGAGAGGAUGAUCAGCCACACUGGAACUGAGACACGGUCCAGACUCCUACGGGAGGCAGCAGUGGGGAAUAUUGGACAAUGGGCGCAAGCCUGAUCCAGCCAUACCGCGUGGGUGAAGAAGGCCUUCGGGUUGUAAAGCCCUUUUGCUGGGAAAGAAAAGCAGCAGGUUAAUACCCCGCUGUUCUGACGGUACCCAAAGAAUAAGCACCGGCUAACUUCGUG